UACGUAGGGUGCGAGCGUUGUCCGGAAUUAUUGGGCGUAAAGGGCUCGUAGGCGGUCUGUUGCGUCGGUAGUGAAAACUCAGGGCUUAACCCUGAGCCUGCUUCCGAUACGGGCAGACUAGAGGUAUGCAGGGGAGAACGGAAUUCCUGGUGUAGCGGUGAAAUGCGCAGAUAUCAGGAGGAACACCGGUGGCGAAGGCGGUCUCUGGGCAUUACCUGACGCUGAGGAGCGAAAGUGUGGGGGGAGCGAACAGG
rnacentral:rRNA from 1 species